UGGGGAAUAUUGGACAAUGGGCGAAAGCCUGAUCCAGCAAUGCCGCGUGAGUGGUGAAGGCCUUAGGGUUGUAAAGCUCUUUUACCAGGGAUGAUAAUGACAGUACCUGGAGAAUAAGCUCCGGCUAACUCCGUGCCAGCAGCCGCGGUAAUACGGAGGGAGCUAGCGUUGUUCGGAAUUACUGGGCGUAAAGCGUACGUAGGCGGUGACUCAAGUCAGAGGUGAAAGCCUGGAGCUCAACUCCAGAACUGCCUUUGAAACUAGGUCGCUAGAAUCACGGAGAGGUGAGUGGAAUUCCGAGUGUAGAGGUGAAAUUCGUAGAUAUUCGGAAGAACACCAGUGGCGAAGGCGGCUCACUGGACGUGUAUUGACGCUGAGGUACGAAAGCGUGGGGAGCAAACAUGAUUAGAUACCCUCGUAGUCCCUGAGCGGGCUGGCAAGGCGCAU
rnacentral:rRNA from 1 species